UACAGAGGGUGCGAGCGUUGUUCGGAAUUAUUGGGCGUAAAGGGCGCGUAGGCGGCGCCACAAGUCACCUGUGAAAACUCUGGGCUCAACCCAGAGCCUGCAGGCGAAACUGUGGUGCUGGAGUAUGGGAGAGGUGCGUGGAAUUCCUGGUGUAGCGGUGAAAUGCGCAGAUAUCAGGAGGAACACCGGUGGCGAAGGCGGGUCUCUGGGCCGAAACUGACGCUGAGGAGCGAAAGCGUGGGGAGCGAACAGG
rnacentral:rRNA from 1 species